AUUGAACGCUGGCGGCAGGCCUAACACAUGCAAGUCGAACGAGUGGCGGACGGGUGAGUAAUGUCUGGGAACCUGCCUGAUGGAGGGGGAUAACUACUGGACACGGUAGCUACUACUGCCUACCAUCAGAUGUGCCCAGCUGGGAUUAGCUUGGUGGUGUGGUAACGUCGCACCAAGGCAACGCAACCAAGCUGGGCUGAGAGGAUGACCAGACACACUGAAACGGUGACACGGUACAGACUCCAACGGGAGGCAGGGGAGGGGAGUGGUGCACAAGGGGCGCAAGCCUGAUGAGGCCAUGCCGCGUGUAGUAAGAGGGCCUUCGGGUUGUAAAGUACUUUCAGCGGGGAGGAGUUACCCGAAGAAGAAGCACCGGCUAACUCCGUGCCAGCAGCCGCGGUAAUAC
rnacentral:rRNA from 1 species